CCUGGGCUUCCAUUUCACGAUCGGAAAGGCCACCGCAAAUCUGAAUAAUACGGUCAGACAGCGUUGAUUUACCGUGGUCGAUAUGUGCAAUGAUGGAGAAGUUACGUAUAUUCUUCAUAUAUUAAUAUAUUUAUGCCUUACGAAUACUUUGAGGCCGCGGUACGGAGCCUGACAUGAUUGUCGUUCGAAAACGCCGCAUUCUACACUACAACCGCGCAACCAGGAAAUGCUCUUCCCGCCAAGCAUAGCGCUUACUGCGAGGAGUGUUCCAAAAAUAAUAAAGCCAGUGUUAUCACUGGCUCAUUUCAGAAGAUGAUGCGGUACGAAUCAAGUCGGGAGGAAGGCCGACGCUGAUAAUAAUAGGCUGCCAGGUCUCGCGCGCGGCAAGUCUGGGGGAGAAGCCUUUGGCAAUCAAAAAACCGCCCACGCCACCGAGUAUCGCCCCACUUAAUGCGGCGAUAUCCGAACCAAAGAGCACCUGAAACAGCGAAGCCACCACAAAUAACCCGAUUAGCGGUGACAUAUAGACCAGCAUAGCGGAUCCGAGCAGGCUGCUUUCGGUGAUCCCUAAUUCGACUUUUUGCCCGGCCACCAACGGCUCAGCGCUAGGAACAGAAAUAGUAUGGCUGGUUUGCGGCCCGAGUUUAUUCAGCACCCGCGUUCCACAGCCAGCACGUGAGGAGCAGCUAUUGCAAGAAGUUUUCACGUCACAGCUAACCUGCGCCAUACCGUUAUCCCAUGCGAUAACGGUCGCCCACUCUUUAAUCAUUGUGCACCUUUAAAUGAAAUACCGUCGGCUACGCG
rnacentral:ncRNA from 1 species